rnacentral:rRNA from 1 species
GUGGGGAAUCUUGGACAAUGGGGGGAACCCUGAUCCAGCCAUGCCGCGUGGGUGAAGAAGGCCUUCGGGUUGUAAAGCCCUUUAGUUGGGGAGGAAAGGUUGCUGGCUAAUACCUGGCGACUGUGACGUUACCCAAAGAAUAAGCACCGGCUAACUCCGUGCCAGCAGCCGCGGUAAUACGGAGGAUCCGAGCGUUAUCCGGAUUUAUUGGGUUUAAAGGGUGCGUAGGCUGGAAGGUCAGUCAGCGGUGAAAAGCUGUCGCUUAACGAUAGUCUUGCAGCAGAUACUUCCUUUCUUGGAUGAGGAGGAGGCCACUGGAACGGAUGGUGUAGCGGUGAAAUGCAUAGAUAUCAUCCAGAACACCGAUUGCGAAGGCAGGUGGCUGUACCUUAAUCGACGCUGAUGCACGAAAGCAUGGGGAGCAAACAGGAUUAGAAACCCGAGUAGUCC